rnacentral:rRNA from 1 species
GGGUUGUGAGGUUAAGCGACUAAGCGUACACGGUGGAUGCCCUGGCAGUCAGAGGCGAUGAAGGACGUGCUAAUCUGCGAUAAGCGUCGGUAAGGUGAUAUGAACCGUUAUAACCGGCGAUUUCCGAAUGGGGAAACCCAGUGUGUUUCGACACACUAUCAUUAACUGAAUCCAUAGGUUAAUGAGGCGAACCGGGGGAACUGAAACAUCUAAGUACCCCGAGGAAAAGAAAUCAACCGAGAUUCCCCCAGUAGCGGCGAGCGAACGGGGAGCAGCCCAGAGCCUGAAUCAGUGUGUGUGUUAGUGGAAGCGUCUGGAAAGGCGCGCGAUACAGGGUGACAGCCCCGUACACAAAAAUGCACAUGCUGUGAGCUCGAUGAGUAGGGCGGGACACGUGGUAUCCUGUCUGAAUAUGGGGGGACCAUCCUCCAAGGCUAAAUACUCCUGACUGACCGAUAGUGAACCAGUACCGUGAGGGAAAGGCGAAAAGAACCCCGGCGAGGGGAGUGAAAAAGAACCUGAAACCGUGUACGUACAAGCAGUGGGAGCACGCUUAGGCGUGUGACUGCGUACCUUUUGUAUAAUGGGUCAGCGACUUAUAUUCUGUAGCAAGGUUAACCGAAUAGGGGAGCCGAAGGGAAACCGAGUCUUAACUGGGCGUUAAGUUGCAGGGUAUAGACCCGAAACCCGGUGAUCUAGCCAUGGGCAGGUUGAAGGUUGGGUAACACUAACUGGAGGACCGAACCGACUAAUGUUGAAAAAUUAGCGGAUGACUUGUGGCUGGGGGUGAAAGGCCAAUCAAACCGGGAGAUAGCUGGUUCUCCCCGAAAGCUAUUUAGGUAGCGCCUCGUGAAUUCAUCUCCGGGGGUAGAGCACUGUUUCGGCAAGGGGGUCAUCCCGACUUACCAACCCGAUGCAAACUGCGAAUACCGGAGAAUGUUAUCACGGGAGACACACGGCGGGUGCUAACGUCCGUCGUGAAGAGGGAAACAACCCAGACCGCCAGCUAAGGUCCCAAAGUCAUGGUUAAGUGGGAAACGAUGUGGGAAGGCCCAGACAGCCAGGAUGUUGGCUUAGAAGCAGCCAUCAUUUAAAGAAAGCGUAAUAGCUCACUGGUCGAGUCGGCCUGCGCGGAAGAUGUAACGGGGCUAAACCAUGCACCGAAGCUGCGGCAGCGACGCUUAUGCGUUGUUGGGUAGGGGAGCGUUCUGUAAGCCUGUGAAGGUGUGCUGUGAGGCAUGCUGGAGGUAUCAGAAGUGCGAAUGCUGACAUAAGUAACGAUAAAGCGGGUGAAAAGCCCGCUCGCCGGAAGACCAAGGGUUCCUGUCCAACGUUAAUCGGGGCAGGGUGAGUCGACCCCUAAGGCGAGGCCGAAAGGCGUAGUCGAUGGGAAACAGGUUAAUAUUCCUGUACUUGGUGUUACUGCGAAGGGGGGACGAAGAAGGCUAUGUUGGCCGGGCGACGGUUGUCCCGGUUUAAGCGUGUAGGCUGGUUUUCCAGGCAAAUCCGGAAAAUCAAGGCUGAGGCGUGAUGACGAGGCACUACGGUGCUGAAGCAACAAAUGCCCUGCUUCCAGGAAAAGCCUCUAAGCAUCAGGUAACAUCAAAUCGUACCCCAAACCGACACAGGUGGUCAGGUAGAGAAUACCAAGGCGCUUGAGAGAACUCGGGUGAAGGAACUAGGCAAAAUGGUGCCGUAACUUCGGGAGAAGGCACGCUGAUAUGUAGGUGAAGCGACUUGCUCGUGGAGCUGAAAUCAGUCGAAGAUACCAGCUGGCUGCAACUGUUUAUUAAAAACACAGCACUGUGCAAACACGAAAGUGGACGUAUACGGUGUGACGCCUGCCCGGUGCCGGAAGGUUAAUUGAUGGGGUCAGCGCAAGCGAAGCUCUUGAUCGAAGCCCCGGUAAACGGCGGCCGUAACUAUAACGGUCCUAAGGUAGCGAAAUUCCUUGUCGGGUAAGUUCCGACCUGCACGAAUGGCGUAAUGAUGGCCAGGCUGUCUCCACCCGAGACUCAGUGAAAUUGAACUCGCUGUGAAGAUGCAGUGUACCCGCGGCAAGACGGAAAGACCCCGUGAACCUUUACUAUAGCUUGACACUGAACAUUGAGCCUUGAUGUGUAGGAUAGGUGGGAGGCUUUGAAGUGUGGACGCCAGUCUGCAUGGAGCCGACCUUGAAAUACCACCCUUUAAUGUUUGAUGUUCUAACGUUGACCCGUAAUCCGGGUUGCGGACAGUGUCUGGUGGGUAGUUUGACUGGGGCGGUCUCCUCCUAAAGAGUAACGGAGGAGCACGAAGGUUGGCUAAUCCUGGUCGGACAUCAGGAGGUUAGUGCAAUGGCAUAAGCCAGCUUGACUGCGAGCGUGACGGCGCGAGCAGGUGCGAAAGCAGGUCAUAGUGAUCCGGUGGUUCUGAAUGGAAGGGCCAUCGCUCAACGGAUAAAAGGUACUCCGGGGAUAACAGGCUGAUACCGCCCAAGAGUUCAUAUCGACGGCGGUGUUUGGCACCUCGAUGUCGGCUCAUCACAUCCUGGGGCUGAAGUAGGUCCCAAGGGUAUGGCUGUUCGCCAUUUAAAGUGGUACGCGAGCUGGGUUUAGAACGUCGUGAGACAGUUCGGUCCCUAUCUGCCGUGGGCGCUGGAGAACUGAGGGGGGCUGCUCCUAGUACGAGAGGACCGGAGUGGACGCAUCACUGGUGUUCGGGUUGUCAUGCCAAUGGCACUGCCCGGUAGCUAAAUGCGGAAGAGAUAAGUGCUGAAAGCAUCUAAGCACGAAACUUGCCCCGAGAUGAGUUCUCCCUGACCCUUUAAGGGUCCUGAAGGAACGUUGAAGACGACGACGUUGAUAGGCCGGGUGUGUAAGCGCAGCGAUGCGUUGAGCUAACCGGUACUAAUGAACCGUGAGGCUUAACCUUACAACGCCGAAG